rnacentral:rRNA from 1 species
AGCGAACGCUGGCGGCAGGCUUAACACAUGCAAGUCGAGCGGGCACUUUCGGGUGUCAGCGGCUGACGGGUGGGUAACGCGUGGGAACGUGCGCUCUGGUUCGGAAUAACUCAGUGAAACUUGAGCUAAUACCGGAUACGCCCUUUUGGGGAAAGGCUUGCUGCCGGAGGAUCGGCCCGCGUCUUAUUAGCUAGUUGGUGAGGUAACGGCUCACCAAGGCGACGAUCAGUAGCUGGGCUGAGAGGAUGAUCAGCUACACUGGGACUGAGACACGGCCCAGACUCCGACGGGAGGCAGCAGUGGGGAAUAUUGGACAAUGGGCGCAAGCCUGAUACAGCCAUGCCGCGUGAGUGAUGAAGGCCUUAGGGUUGUAAAGCUCUUUUAUCCGGGACGAUAAUGACGGUACCGGAGGAAUAAGCCCCGGCUAACUUCGUG